ACUCCUACGGGAGGCAGCAUUGGGGAAUAUUGGACAAUGGGCGCAAGCCUGAUCCAGCCAUGCCGCGUGAGUGAUGAAGGCCCUAGGGUUGUAAAGCUCUUUCACCGGUGAAGAUAAUGACGGUAACCGGAGAAGAAGCCCCGACUAACUUCGUGCCAGCAGCCGCGGUAAUACGAAGGGGGCUAGCGUUGUUCGGAUUUACUGGGCGUAAAGCGCACGUAGGCGGACUAUUAAGUCAGGGGUGAAAUCCCGGGGCUCAACCCCGGAACUGCCUUUGAUACUGGUAGUCUUGAGUUCGAGAGAGGUGAGUGGAAUUCCGAGUGUAGAGGUGAAAUUCGUAGAUAUUCGGAGGAACACCAGUGGCGAAGGCGGCUCACUGGCUCGAUACUGACGCUGAGGUGCGAAAGCGUGGGGAGCAAACAGGAUUAGAAACCCUGGUAGUCCCAUGA
rnacentral:rRNA from 1 species